GUCUACAGUCAUACUGCCCUGAAUGCAUGGAUCUUGGCUGAUCUCAGAAACUAAACAGGGUUGGACCUGGUUAGUUCUUGGAUGGGAGGAACGAGUCCAGAGAGGUGAGGCU
rnacentral:rRNA from 1 species